AUUGAACGCUGGCGGCAGGCCUAACACAUGCAAGUCGAGCGGAUGAAGGGAGCUUGCUCCUGGAUUCAGCGGCGGACGGGUGAGUAAUGCCUAGGAAUCUGCCUGGUAGUGGGGGAUAACGUCCGGAAACGGGCGCUAAUACCGCAUACGUCCUGAGGGAGAAAGUGGGGGAUCCUCGGACCUCACGCUAUCAGAUGAGCCUAGGUCGGAUUAGCUAGUUGGUGGGGUAAAGGCCUACCAAGGCGACGAUCCGUAACUGGCCUGAGAGGAUGAUCAGUCACACUGGAACUGAGACACGGUCCAGACUCCUACGGGAGGCAGCAGUGGGGAAUAUUGGACAAUGGGCGAAAGCCUGAUCCAGCCAUGCCGCGUGUGUGAAGAAGGUCUUCGGAUUGUAAAGCACUUUAAGUUGGGAGGAAGGGCAGUAAGUUAAUACCUUGCUGUUUUGACGUUACCAACAGAAUAAGCACCGGCUAACUUCGUG
rnacentral:rRNA from 1 species